rnacentral:rRNA from 1 species
UACGUAGGGGGCAAGCGUUGUCCGGAUUCAUUGGGCGUAAAGAGCGUGUAGGCGGCCAGGUAGGUCGGUUGUGAAAACUGGAGGCUCAACCUUCAGACGUCGACCGAAACCAUCUGGCUAGAGUCCGGGAGAGGAGAGUGGAAUUCCUGGUGUAGCGGUGAAAUGCGCAGAUAUCAGGAAGAACACCUAUGGCGAAGGCAGCUCGCUGGGACGUUACUGACGCUGAGACGCGAAAGCGUGGGGAGCAAACAGG